rnacentral:piRNA from 1 species
UAGGACUGAAAAGUGAAGAAGUGCAAAUGC